ACCCGCUGAAUUUAAGCAUAUAAGUAGGCGGUGGAUGAGAAACUCACAAGGAUUCCUUCAGUAAUGGCGAAUGCAUCAGGACWGGCUCAGUUUGGAAAUCAAGACAUCUUGUCUUGAGUUGUGGGGUUAAGAUAUGCUACUAAUUGAGGUGCAGCAAUAAGCCCUUGGAAAAGAGCAUUGAUAAGGGUGAUAAUCCUGUGUGUCAUUUGCAGCUCUCAGUGUACGGUGUGUCUUCUAAGAGUCAUGUUCCUUGGGAUUGGUGCAUGAAGUGGGUGGUAAACUUCAUCUAAAGCUGAACAUAUGUUUGAGACCAAUAGCAAACAAGUACCAUGAGGGAAAGAUGAAACAGGACUCUGUAAAGAGAGGUAACAGUGUCUGAACUUGCUGAAAGGGAAGUGAAGGAAACCAGUGUAAUUUGGCGAGAUUGCUGCACACAAUUGUGCUUGCCUGYUGCUGCUAGCAAUGCUGCAGCAGGUCUUGAGCAGGAUGUGUGCAGUGUUUCUUGCCCUAUCAAUCAAUGUCAGCAUGCUGAACGAGGGCAACAGUAGGCAUAUGGUGGCCUGUCUCAGGGUGGGUGAACAUGUCUAUCCAACUUGUUUGUGUGCUGCUCGGUGACUACAUGGUUCCAUUCGCCCCGUCUUGAAACACGGACCAAGGAGUCUAACAUGCGUGUGAGUUCAUGGGUGGUCAAACCUGUUUGCACAGUGAAAGUAUUGGCUGGGAAAUUUGCACCAGCGACGGACCAUUCAAUUCUGAGAAGUCUGAAUAUGAGCAUGCCUGUUAGGACCCGAAAGAUGGUGAACUAUGCCAGUGAAGGGCAAACUCAGGGGAAACUCUGAUGGAAGCCUGUAGUGAUACUGACGUGCAAAUCGUUCGUUAUACAUGGGUAUAGGGGUGAAAGACUAAUCGAACCAYCUAGUAGCUGGUUCCCUCCGA
rnacentral:rRNA from 1 species